GCCAAAAAUCUAGCCCAACCCAACCUCAUGUUAACAAACUACUAACACCUUUAACUUAAAACAUUUUAACAAUUUAGUAAAGGCGAUAAAAAAAUUAUUAAGAGCUAUAUAAAUAGUACCGCAAGGGAAAGAUGAAAUAAAAAUGAAAAAUACCUAAGCAAACAACAGUAGAGAUUUAACCUCGUACCUUUUGCAUCAUGGUUUGACUAGUCAAAUCAAGCAAAACGAUUUUAAGUUUGACCCCCCGAAACUAAGCGAGCUACUUCAAGGCAGCUUACUGAGCUAACCCGUCUCUGUUGCAAAAGAGUGGGAAGACCUUCAAGUAGAAGUGAUAGACCUAACGAGCUUGGUGAUAGCUGGUUACUCAAGAAAAGGAUCUUAGUCCAACCUAAAGCUAAAAUAAUACCAUUUCAAAUAUAAACUAAACUUUAGAGCAAUUCAAAUAAGGUACAGCCUAUUUGAAACAGGAUACAACCUAUGCUAAUGGGUUAAACCACAGUAUAUAAUUAGCCAAGUGGGCCUAAAAGCAGCCACCUUUAAUAAUAGCGUCAAAGCUUAACUAAACUAUACCUUUAUCCCAACACCCCCCUCCAACCCUUAACUGUUAUUGAGUAUUUCUAUAAACUUAUAGAAGAUUUUAUGUCAAAACUAGUAACAAGAAGAAGACCUUCUCUUAAAUGCAAGUGUAAACCAGGAAGGACACACCACUGAUAAUUAACACAUUUGAACGCAUAAUGACAACUCCACAAGAAAACCCCAAUAUAUUAAAUGUUAAACUAACACAAGAGCAUUAAAAGAAAGAUUAAAAGAAAAAGAAGGAACUCGGCAAAUAUUAACCCCGCCUGUUUACCAAAAACAUCGCCUUUUGAAACUUAUAAAAGGUCCAGCCUGCCCAGUGACCAUGUUCAACGGCCGCGGUAUCCUAACCGUGCGAAGGUAGCGUAAUCACUUGUUCUUUAAAUAAGGACUAGUAUGAAUGGCAUCACGAAGGUUACACUGUCUCCUUUCUCUAAUCAGUGAAACUAAUCUUCCCGUGAAGAAGCGGGAAUCCACAUAUAAGACGAGAAGACCCUAUGGAGCUUUAAACAAAAUGACAACUGCCACUUCAAACAUCAAUUUCCAGAAGACUAAUCUUUACCUCGGCAUUUUGUUCAUUAGUUUUAGGUUGGGGUGACCGCGGAGUAAAAAACAACCUCCGCAUUGAACGGAACAACCCUAAACAAAAAGCUACAACUUUAUGUAUCAGCACACUGACAUUAAUUGACCCAAUAAUUUGAUCAACGAACCAAGUUACCCUAGGGAUAACAGCGCAAUCCAUUUCAAGAGCCCCUAUCGACAAAUGGGUUUACGACCUCGAUGUUGGAUCAGGGUCUCCCAGUGGUGCAGCCGCUACUAAAGGUUCGUUUGUUCAACGAUUAAAACCCU
rnacentral:rRNA from 1 species